rnacentral:rRNA from 1 species
AAUUUUGCACAAUGGGGGAAACCCUGAUCCAGCAAUGCCGCGUGCAGGCUGAAGGCCUUCCGGUUGUAAACUCCUUUUUUACGGACCGAAAAGUCUUGGGCGACUCCCCUGGGACCAUGACGGUACCGUAAGAAUCAGCACCGGCUAACUACGUGCCCGCCCCCGCGGUAAUACGUAGGGUGCAAGCGUUAAUCGGAAUUACUGGGCGUAAAGCGUGCGCAGGCGGUUUUGUAAGACAGUGGUGAAAUCCCCGGGCUCAACCUGGGAACUGCCAUUGUGACUGCAAGGCUGGAGUGCGGCAGAGGGGGAUGGAAUUCCGCGUGUAGCAGUGAAAUGCGUAGAUAUGCGGAGGAACACCGAUGGCGAAGGCAAUCCCCUGGGCCUGCACUGACGCUCAUGCACGAAGGCGUGGGGAGCAAACAGG